GAUGAACGCUGGCUACAGGCUUAACACAUGCAAGUCGAGGGGAAACGACGGGGAAGCUUGCUUCCCCGGGCGUCGACCGGCGCACGGGUGAGUAACGCGUAUCCAACCUGCCUCUGACUGAGGGAUAACCCGUCGAAAGUCGGCCUAAUACCUCAUGGCAUCGUCUGCGGGCAUCCAACGACGAUUAAAGAUUUCAUCGGUCAGGGAUGGGGAUGCGUCUGAUUAGCUUGUUGGCGGGGUAACGGCACACCAAGGCGACGAUCAGUAGGGGUUCUGAGAGGAAGGUCCCCCACAUUGGAACUGAGACACGGUCCAAACUCCUACGGGAGGCAGCAGUGAGGAAUAUUGGUCAAUGGGCGGGAGCCUGAACCAGCCAAGUAGCGUGCAGGAUGACGGCCCUAUGGGUUGUAAACUGCUUUUAUGCGGGGAUAAAGUGAGGGACGUGUCCCUCAUUGCAGGUACCGCAUGAAUAAGGACCGGCUAAGUCCGUG
rnacentral:rRNA from 1 species